GUUUUGGAGAGUCAGGUUGUAAGAGUGAGGAGCUGGAGAGGUUAGAAGGGUGAGAAGGGGCCAGACCGGUGGAUCUCUUAAUUGGUUUCGUCUAGCUCCUGCUCCCCAGAAAUGGAAAAUUAAUAACGUCGAGGAAACGCCAGCCUGUUACAGGGAGGGUUGAAAAAGGAAAGGGCGCAGAGGGGUCCCAGAAAGACCGGGUUUCCGCGCAGACCAGCCUGCGGAACGUGCGCGGGGUCUUCAGCCUCCCGUCCCCUGGUGUCCUUGGCUCGCCGUGAGGUGGGGACGCGGAAUCGGGCUGCC